rnacentral:rRNA from 1 species
AUUGAACGCUGGCGGCAGGCCUAACACAUGCAAGUCGAACGAGUGGCGGACGGGUGAGGAAAGUCUGGGAAACUGCCUGAUGGAGGGGGAUAACUACUGGAAACGGUAGCUAAUACCGCAUACCAUCAGAUGUGCCCAGAUGGGAUUAGCUAGGUGGUGGGGUAACGGCUCACCAAGGCGACGAUCCCUAGCUGGUCUGAGAGGAUGACCAGCCACACGGGAACGGAGACAGUGUCCAGACUCCGACAGUGGGCAGCAGUGGGGAAUAUUGCACAAUGGGGGCAAGCCUGAUGCAGCCAUGCCGCGUGUAUGAAGAAGGCCUUCGGGUUGUAAAGUACUUUCAGCGGGGAGGCGUUACCCGCAGAAGAAGCACCGGCUAACUCCGUGCCAGCAGCCGCGGUAAUAC